ACGGAAGGCAGCAGUGGGGAAUAUUGCACAAUGGGGGAAACCCUGAUGCAGCGACGCCGCGUGAGUGAAGAAGUUAUUCGUAAUGUAAAGCUCUAUCAGCAGGGAAGAAAAUGACGGUACCUGACUAAGAAGCCCCGGCUAACUACGUGCCAGCAGCCGCGGUAAUACGUAGGGGGCAAGCGUUAUCCGGAUUUACUGGGUGUAAAGGGAGCGUAGACGGUCUAGCAAGUCUGAUGUGAAAGGCAGGGACUCAACUCCUGGACUGCAUUGGAAACUGUUAGUCUUGAGUGUCGGAGAGGUAAGCGGAAUUCCUAGUGUAGCGGUGAAAUGCGUAGAUAUUAGGAGGAACACCAGUGGCGAAGGCGGCUUACUGGACGAUAACUGACGUUGAGGCUCGAAAGCGUGGGGAGCAAACAGGAUUAGAUACCCUGGUA
rnacentral:rRNA from 1 species